rnacentral:rRNA from 1 species
GAGUUUGAUCCUGGCUCACGACGAACGCUGGCGGCGUGCCUAAUACAUGCAAGUAGAACGCUGAAGACUUUAGCUUGCUAAAGUUGGAAGAGUUGCGAACGGGUGAGUAACGCGUAGGUAACCUGCCUACUAGCGGGGGAUAACUAUUGGAAACGAUAGCUAAUACCGCAUAACAGCAUUUAACCCAUGUUAGAUGCUUGAAAGGAGCAAUUGCUUCACUAGUAGAUGGACCUGCGUUGUAUUAGCUAGUUGGUGAGGUAACGGCUCACCAAGGCGACGAUACAUAGCCGACCUGAGAGGGUGAUCGGCCACACUGGGACUGAGACACGGCCCAGACUCCUACGGGAGGCAGCAGUAGGGAAUCUUCGGCAAUGGGGGCAACCCUGACCGAGCAACGCCGCGUGAGUGAAGAAGGUUUUCGGAUCGUAAAGCUCUGUUGUAAGAGAAGAACGUGUGUGAGAGUGGAAAGUUCACACAGUGACGGUAACUUACCAGAAAGGGACGGCUAACUACGUGCCAGCAGCCGCGGUAAUACGUAGGUCCCGAGCGUUGUCCGGAUUUAUUGGGCGUAAAGCGAGCGCAGGCGGUUUAAUAAGUCUGAAGUUAAAGGCAGUGGCUUAACCAUUGUUCGCUUUGGAAACUGUUAGACUUGAGUGCAGAAGGGGAGAGUGGAAUUCCAUGUGUAGCGGUGAAAUGCGUAGA